rnacentral:siRNA from 1 species
AGGUCCGUUGAUUCCAAACUAAU